UUCAGGGUGAGACAGAUAGUAAAAUCAUCGAUCAGCUCCAGGAGGCGAAAGAAACAGCAGAGAAUCUGAAGAAGCAGCUGGAGUCCAAAAAUUGGGAGAUGCUCUGGGCUGAGAAGAGGAGGAAUGAUGAAACUGACAGAAAACUCAAAGAGUUGGUAAAGCAGCUCGAGGAGAAGAAGAAGAAAACUGAGAAAAAUCUCAAUGAGGUAAAUCUUUGUCUCCUGCUAUUAUCUGUUUUCUAUGUGUUCAGGUUACAAUCACACAUGAGAACAAACCUCAGACACCAAAUAACUGUUAGUGAAGCUCAAGUUUGUUCUCACUGUUUUCAAACUUCAUCAUCAAUCACUUUAUAUUUACAUAACACAUGUUUUAAUUUAUUUUGAACAGAUUUUUUUUCUUUAGUGAAGUUUGUGAAUGUAUUGUUAUAUCAUGCCUUAUAAAAGAGCACGUCUCCAGUCAUGUGUCCUCUCACCUGCUGUUGGAGAAAAACUAUUCAUACUUAAACAAUCAGCUCUAGCAGGAGAAACCCUGAAAAAACUAAAGUCCAGAAAUCAGGGAUUUCAUCUCUCUGUUAUAAUCCUGCUGAAUUUUCUUCUAAACAUAAAAAUGCAAAAAUGUUUCAAAAAAAGACAAAUGCUGAAAGUCAUUAACUUGGAUAUUUAGCAUACAGAAAAUAAACAUUUUAAUUGCAGUUCAUCGUUUUAUCUCUGAGCGCACUCUCAGUGUUUUUGUCUAAGGUGACGACUGCACAUUAGGUUUAUGAAUCUUUAAACUGGAUCCAUUUAAAAAAUAAACGUCACUGCCCCACAGUCUGAUAGAGGAGACGUUGCUCACACAUCAAAGUGAAUUUAAUUUGACUGAACAGAUAUUCUUGCUGUGUGACUUCUAAUUGCUGCAGUGUAAAAGAGACUCAGCAGUAUUUAUACGGUUU